rnacentral:tRNA from 1 species
CUGGUGGCGGAAUUGGUAGACGCGUCAGACUUAAAAUCUGAUGUUCGCAAGAACGUGGGGGUUCGAGUCCCCCCCUGCCC